GCCUGGGUGGCUCAGUGGUUGAGCAUCUAGCUUCAGCUCAGGUCAUGAUCCCAGAGUCCUGGGAUCAAGUCCCACAUCAGGCU
rnacentral:tRNA from 1 species